rnacentral:rRNA from 1 species
GACGAACGCUGGCGGCGUGCCUAAUACAUGCAAGUAGAACGCUGAAGGAGGAGCUUGCUUCUCUGGAUGAGUUGCGAACGGGUGAGUAACGCGUAGGUAACCUGCCUGGUAGCGGGGGAUAACUAUUGGAAACGAUAGCUAAUACCGCAUAAGAGUAGAUGUUGCAUGACAUUUGCUUAAAAGGUGCAAUUGCAUCACUACCAGAUGGACCUGCGUUGUAUUAGCUAGUUGGUGGGGUAACGGCUUACCAAGGCGACGAUACAUAGCCGACCUGAGAGGUUGAUCGGCCACACUGGGACUGAGACACGGCCCAGACUCCUACGGGAGGCAGCAGUAGGGAAUCUUCGGCAAUGGACGGAAGUCUGACCGAGCAACGCCGCGUGAGUGAAGAAGGUUUUCGGAUCGUAAAGCUCUGUUGUAAGAGAAGAACGAGUGUGAGAGUGGAAAGUUCACACUGUGACGGUAUCUUACCAGAAAGGGACGGCUAACUACGUG